GAUGCAGCCAUGCCGCGUGUGUGAAGAAGGCCUUCGGGUUGUAAAGCACUUUCAGUUGUGAGGAAAAGUUAGUAGUUAAUACCUGCUAGCCGUGACGUUAACAACAGAAGAAGCACCGGCUAACUCCGUGCCAGCAGCCGCGGUAAUACGGAGGGUGCGAGCGUUAAUCGGAAUUACUGGGCGUAAAGCGCACGCAGGCGGUUUGUUAAGCUAGAUGUGAAAGCCCCGGGCUCAACCUGGGAUAGUCAUUUAGAACUGGCAGACUAGAGUCUUGGAGAGGGGAGUGGAAUUCCAGGUGUAGCGGUGAAAUGCGUAGAUAUCUGGAGGAACAUCAGUGGCGAAGGCGACUCCCUGGCCAAAGACUGACGCUCAUGUGCGAAAGUGUGGGUAGCGAACAGGAUUAGAUACCCUGGUAGUCCACACCGUAAACGCUGUCUACUAGCUGUUUGUGACUUUAAGUCGUGAGUAGCGAAGCUAACGCGCUAAGUAGACCGCCUGGGGAGUACGGCCGCAAGGUUAAAACUCAAAUGAAUUGACGGGGGCCCGCACAAGCGGUGGAGCAUGUGGUUUAAUUCGAUGCAACGCGAAGAACCUUACCUACACUUGACAUGCUGAGAACUUUCUAGAGAUAGAUUGGUGCCUUCGGGAACUCAGACACAGGUGCUGCAUGGCUGUCGUCAGCUCGUGUCGUGAGAUGUUGGGUUAAGUCCCGCAACGAGCGCAACCCUUGUCCUUAGUUGCCAGCCUUAAGUUGGGCACUCUAAGAGACUGCCCGGUGAC
rnacentral:rRNA from 1 species